rnacentral:lncRNA from 1 species
AUUAUUAACAAUUCCUCGUUCUCCCGAGGUGCUUCCAUUCAACGCUAUUCAAUAACUGCACUGCAUUCUCUGCUCAGGUAUGGCCUGCACUGCAACCCAGGCCAGACCGUCGCAGUAAAAACUUUUCGAAUCUUUUAGCACAGAUGGGUAUUUUUGUUUCCAUAGCAGAAGCUUUGUUGACAUUACCGAUGCAUUGAACACAAUCUCAGCGCUGAGUGUCUCACCAGGUCAGAUAAGAGCAGGCACUUGCAUUUGAAGGGUCCAGUCUCACUAUGCUCCGAACACAACGAGAUGCUAAAUCGCAUGAAGGAGUUUAGAUCACAACCCUGUGGAUCCAUACCACAGUUUGCAUUUAACGCUUUGAGAGAUGGAUUCUACUCAAAUUCCAUGAGGCCAUUGAAUCACAGCUAGUACCGAAAAUCUAUAUUAAUCUGCAGAGAGAACUUUGGACUCGAAAGAAACGUGUCAGGCCAGAGUUGAACAGAAAACAUGCCAUGUAGCAGUAAUGCAAGAACCAUCUAAUAAAUGUACACAUUACCAUACUAAGUAGUAUCACCAUGAUUGAGGAACGUGGCAUCAUUAUUCUGUAAACGAUAC